rnacentral:rRNA from 1 species
UACGUAGGGGGCAAGCGUUGUCCGGAAUCAUUGGGCGUAAAGCGCGUGUAGGCGGCUUGAUAAGUCUGCUCUGAAAGCCCGGGGCUCAACCCUGGGAGGCGGGUGGAUACUGUCGAGCUCGAGUCCGGAAGAGGCGAGUGGAAUUCCUGGUGUAGCGGUGAAAUGCGCAGAUAUCAGGAGGAACACCAAUGGCGAAGGCAGCUCGCUGGGACGGUACUGACGCUGAGACGCGAAAGCGUGGGGGAGCAAACAGG